rnacentral:rRNA from 1 species
GAUGAACGCUGGCGGCGUGCCUAAUACAUGCAAGUCGAGCGAACGGACGAGAAGCUUGCUUCUCUGAUGUUAGCGGCGGACGGGUGAGUAACACGUGGAUAACCUACCUAUAAGACUGGGAUAACUUCGGGAAACCGGAGCUAAUACCGGAUAAUAUUUUGAACCGCAUGGUUCAAAAGUGAAAGACGGUCUUGCUGUCACUUAUAGAUGGAUCCGCGCUGCAUUAGCUAGUUGGUAAGGUAACGGCUUACCAAGGCAACGAUGCAUAGCCGACCUGAGAGGGUGAUCGGCCACACUGGAACUGAGAAACGGUCCAGACUCCUACGGGAGGCAGCAGUAGGGAAUCUUCCGCAAUGGGCGAAAGCCUGAAGGAGCAACGCCGCGUGAGUGAUGAAGGUCUUCGGAUCGUAAAACUCUGUUAUUAGGGAAGAACAUAUGUGUAAGUAACUGUGCACAUCUUGACGGUACCUAAUCAGAAAGCCACGGCUAACUACGUG